rnacentral:rRNA from 1 species
GUGCCAGCAGCCGCGGUAAUACGAAGGGUGCAAGCGUUACUCGGAAUUACUGGGCGUAAAGCGUGCGUAGGUGGUUUGUUAAGUCUGCUGUGAAAUCCCCGGGCUCAACCUGGGAAUGGCAGUGGAUACUGGCAAGCUAGAGUGCGGUAGAGGGAUGUGGAAUUCCCGGUGUAGCGGUGAAAUGCGUAGAGAUCGGGAGGAACACCAGUGGCGAAGGCGGCAUCCUGGACCAGCACUGACACUCAGGCACGAAAGCGUGGGGAGCAAACAGGAUUAGAAACCCCCGUAGUCC